GGCGGCCCCCCGGGGCGGGCGGGGGGCAGGGUGGGCUGGGCCGGGCCGAGCCAUCACCGCCAGGGUCCCGCCCGCGGGCUGAGAGAUGGGAAGGCAGGAGAGACACAGACAUUGCGCCGGUCCCGCGGAGCCCACCGGCCGUCCCCUCCAGGGGCUGGUCUCUUGGACUGCUCAGUGCUUGAGGAGGGAUCAAGCUUAUUCUCUGUGAGCUCUGAUAUUUUUAAAGAUAUACUUCCUGAAAUAGCUUGCUGGCCGCUAAGCACUACUUUCUGGGGAAAAAAACAAAAACUACAACCGAGAUUAUUUUUAAAAAAAAAAAUCACUAAAAACCAAAAAAAAAGCCUUUCGUGUAUGUAACGGGCUAGUUUCUGCAGGAGACGGUUAUCCUACUGAGCCUCUCUUAUGUUUUGCCUGUAAUAGUUGAAGUGUUCGUUCAUGCUUUUGUUACAGCUCAGCAUUUUCAAGCUUUGUAUCCUCAGGGAGUGAAGAUGCUACAUUUAUACAUUAAAAAGAAGAGGUCUCCAUCAAA